rnacentral:rRNA from 1 species
AUUGAACGCUGGCGGCAGGCCUAACACAUGCAAGUCGAGCGAGCGGCGGACGGGUGUGUAAUGUAUGGGGACUGCCCGAUAGAGGGGGUUAACUACUGGAAACGGUGGCUAAUACCGCAUACUAUCGGAUAACCCAUAUGGGAUUAGCUAGAAGUCGGGGAAAAGGCUCACCUAGGCGACGAUCGCUAGCUGGUCUGAGAGGAGGAUCAGCCACACUGGUACUGAGACACGGCCCAGACUCCUACGGAGGCAGCAGUGGGGAAUAUUGCACAAUGGGCGCAAGCAUGAUGCAGCUAUGCCGCGUGUAUGAAGAAGGCCUUAGGGUUGUAAAGUACUUUAAGCGGGGAGGCGUUAACCGCAGAAGAAGCACCGGCUAACUCAGUGCCAGCAACCGGGGGAAUUC